rnacentral:rRNA from 1 species
GUGGGGAAUAUUGCACAAUGGAGGAAACUCUGAUGCAGCGACGCCGCGUGAGCGAAGAAGUAUCUCGGUAUGUAAAGCUCUAUCAGCAGGGAAGAAAAAAUGACGGUACCUGACUAAGAAGCCCCGGCUAACUACGUGCCAGCAGCCGCGGUAAUACGUAGGGGGCAAGCGUUAUCCGGAUUUACUGGGUGUAAAGGGAGCGCAGGCGGAAGGCUAAGUCUGAUGUGAAAACCCGGGGCUCAACCCCGGGACUGCAUUGGAAACUGGUCAUCUGGAGUGUCGGAGAGGUAAGUGGAAUUCCUAGUGUAGCGGUGAAAUGCGUAGAUAUUAGGAGGAACACCAGUGGCGAAGGCGGCUUACUGGACGACAACUGACGCUGAGGCUCGAAAGCGUGGGGAGCAAACAGGAUUAGAAACCCUAGUAGUCC